AAAAAAUAAAGAUAUAAUGAAAAGUAAUUAAUAAAAAUUAAAUAUUUAAACAUUCCCACAAAUGUGCAAUGAACGUGCAAAAACUCUCUUUAGUAGUUGUUGCUGUUUCUUUCUUUCUUUCUUUCUUCUUUUUUUUUUUUUGAAAAAUAACGACGUCUCUGAGGCGCGAAAUCUGACAGCGAGAGGAACGGCCGGAUACAGGAGACGGGAAGAAACAAGCCGAUUAUGUUCGCGUUAAUUAAGUGGUUGGAAGAUGUAAAAUUCUCAAUUCUGCCAACUGAACAUAUACGAGAUUUUAAUGAGGAUGAAUAAUUAGCCGGCAUGGAGGAAACGGACCUUUAUUUCGUGGAGUGGCGACAAGAAGCCAAGGCGGGUGGCCAGUCUAAGAAGCCUCCAUCAUCAAGCUAGCAGAAAUCCUACCUCUCCUUCUGGCUACAGAGUACUUACCAAGCCCAUGAAAUCGAAUGCAGAUCUUCCUAAUGUGAGAUUUACAUAAAUGUAAGUAAUUUUGUUUGUCAUUGUCAUUAAUGUUGUUGCUGUUGUUGUUUUUGUGCAGUUUGCAAUCAUAUAAACCUAGCAAGCAUCAGUCAGCACAGUGACUAACCUAAACAGAUUCUUGCUUUAUUCACAUAUAUUAUAUGUAAUUAUAUAUACCUGCACAUUGUACCUAGGGUUGCAGCCACUUGGCCCCACCCCAUUGUUGUGACAGCCCUGAUUGUACUUAUACACUGCAUCUGAA
ensembl:lncRNA